UUCGCCCUUAGAGUUUGAUCCUGGCUCAGGACGAACGCUGGCGGCGCGCCUAACACAUGCAAGUCGAACGAGCGAGAGAGAGCUUGCUUUCUCGAGCGAGUGGCGAACGGGUGAGUAACGCGUGAGGAACCUGCCUCAAAGAGGGGGACAACAGUUGGAAACGACUGCUAAUACCGCAUAAGCCCACGGUGCCGCAUGGCACAGAGGGAAAAGGAGUAAUCCGCUUUGAGAUGGCCUCGCGUCCGAUUAGCUAGUUGGUGAGGUAAUGGCCCACCAAGGCGACGAUCGGUAGCCGGACUGAGAGGUUGAACGGCCACAUUGGGACUGAGACACGGCCCAGACUCCUACGGGAGGCAGCAGUGGGGAAUAUUGCACAAUGGGGGAAACCCUGAUGCAGCGACGCCGCGUGGAGGAAGAAGGUCUUCGGAUUGUAAACUCCUGUUGUUGGGGAAGAUAAUGACGGUACCCAACAAGGAAGUGACGGCUAACUACGUGCCAGCAGCCGCGGUAAAACGUAGGUCACAAGCGCUGUCCGGAAUUACUGGGUGUAAAGGGAGCGCAGGCGGGAAGACAAGUUGGAAGUGAAAUCUAUGGGCUCAACCCAUAAACUGCUUUCAAAACUGUUUUUCUUGAGUAGUGCAGAGGUAGGCGGAAUUCCCGGUGUAGCGGUGGAAUGCGUAGAUAUCGGGAGGAACACCAGUGGCGAGGGCGGCCUACUGGGCACCAACUGACGCUGAGGCUCGAAAGUGUGGGUAGCAAACCAGGAUUAGAUACCCUGGUAGUCCACACCGUAAACGAUGAUUACUAGGGUGUGGGAGGAUUGACCCCUUUCAGUGCCGCCAGUUAACACAAAUAAGUAAUCCACCCUGGGGAGUACGACCGCAAGGUUGAAACUCAAAGGAAUUGACGGGGGGCCCGCACAAUCAGUGGAGUAUGUGGUUUAAUUCGACGCAACGCGAAGGAACCUUACCAAGUCUGGACAUCCCUUGACAGGCACAGAAAUAUGUUUUCUCUUCGGAGCAAGGAGACAGGUGGUGCAUGGUUGUCGUCAGCUCGUGUCGUGAGAUGUUGGGUUAAGUCCCGCAACGAGCGCAACCCUUAUGGUCAGUUACUACGCAAGAGGACUCUGGCCAGACUGCCGUUGACAAAACGGAGGAAGGUGGGGAUGACGUCAAAUCAUCAUGUCCUUUAUGACUUGGGCUACACACGUACUACAAUGGCGUUAAACAAAGAGAAGCAAGACCGCGAGGUGGAGCAAAACUCAGAAACAACGUCCCAGUUCGGACUGCAGGCUGCAACUCGCCUGCACGAAGUCGGAAUUGCUAGUAAUCGUGGAUCAGCAUGCCACGGUGAAUACGUUCCCGGGCCUUGUACACACCGCCCGUCA
rnacentral:rRNA from 1 species